rnacentral:rRNA from 1 species
UUUUCCGGUUUUUCCUCUUUUUUUUAUUGUUAACAAUGUAUGACUCUGAAACUUUUAGACCAUGAGGCCAAACUUGGCAUGUGAUACCUUUUCGGAAAUCCCAAAGAGAGCUCUCCGAUGAAUUAGGAAGGAAAAUGGAAUUCUUCUAUAGUUUUUUUUUCUACUCCAAAUUUUGAACCUUAAUUGUACUUUUCGGGCCUUUUCUUAAUCUUUGCUAUAUUACGGGGCGAAAAUUAUAUGUUCGGACAUUGUUUUCGAAUAUGCAUGUAUAAAAACCUCUUAUAAACAAGAUAGUCUAUUCCUACAUAGGUGGUGCGACCCACGGCAAAUGGAUCAUAAAGUCUUCAAAAAAGAAUAAUACGAUUGCAUUGCAUGUAGUA